UACAGGGGGUGCAAACGUUGCUCGGAAUUACUGGGCGUAAAGCGCGCGUAGGCGGACCUGCAAGUCGGGGGUGAAAGCCCGAGGCUCAACCUCGGAACUGCCUUCGAUACUGCGGGUCUCGAGUCCGGGAGAGGUGAGUGGAAUUCCUAGUGUAGAGGUGAAAUUCGUAGAUAUUAGGAAGAACACCAGUGGCGAAGGCGGCUCACUGGCUCGGUACUGACGCUGAGGCGCGAAAGCGUGGGGAGCAAACAGG
rnacentral:rRNA from 1 species